rnacentral:lncRNA from 14 species
CUGCCAAAUGGCUACAUUUCCCACCCGCUGUCUGGUUUUAUAUACAGGAGAAGCAUACAGUGUUCCUCCUUUAGACCCUAGUGCUGGCCUGCCGCAUAACACAGGAGGUUCCCACGUGUGGACCAACAGCUCAUAGCAGGCCCUUUGUGACCUACACAAAGUAGGGUCGCAGUGACCCUACAGGAUGAGCCCGUGAUAACUGCUCUGGUGCUGUGCCUGUGGCCUGCUUAUCACACUAGCUGCUGUGGCUCUGAAAGGGAUGGUGUGAGAGACAUGGCUCGAGGGAAAAAGCGCCAGAUAGGGUGGUUCCCAGCAAAUUAUGUCAAACUUCUAAGCCCUGGAACAAGCAAAAUCACCCCAACUGAGCUACCCAAGACCGCAGUGCAGCCAGCAGUGUGCCAGGUGAUCGGGAUGUACGAUUACACCGCGCAGAAUGACGAUGAGCUAGCCUUCAGCAAAGGCCAGAUCAUCAACGUCCUCAGCAAGGAGGACCCGGACUGGUGGAAAGGAGAAGUCAGUGGGCAGGUUGGGCUCUUCCCGUCCAAUUAUGUGAAGCUGACCACAGACAUGGACCCCAGCCAGCAAUGUAAGUGCCCUGGCGGCCCGCUUGCUCUCCUCUCUGGUUUCUUCCUGUAAGACGUGCAGCAUUGCUCUGAGUCUGCCAAGCUUGGUUUGCAGAACGUAAAGCAGACCACUGCUGCAUUUGCAACAGUCUCUUUGAAGACCUUCUGUGAUGCGAACUAUCUCGUGGGGUUUUGUUUUUGUUUUAAAUUUUCAUUCUUUCUGUAGCAUGCCCCCCUCCCCUCCCCUCCCUUCCUCCUCCUCCUCCUGUUUUUUCUUUUUUUUUGAAUCAUUCUGGCACCAUGUGUGCACAUGCCUGACUCAUUUCCCUCGCUUGGAUUUUGCUCAUUGUUUUGUUUUGCUUAUGUGUUGUUUUCCUCCUUUUUCUAGGAAUCAUAUGUUGUCCAUCCCCCCUCAGGCUUGAAAGCCCUCAAAGAGACCCACUAUCCCAUAUCACUGCCCAGAGGGAUGAUGGGAGAUGCAGCCUUGAUCAUGUGACUUGCAGCAUGAUCACCUACUGCCUUCUGAGUAGAAGAACUCACUGCAGAGCAGUUUACCUCAUUUGACCUUAGUUGCAUGUGAUCGAAAUGUCUGAGUCACUGCGUGCAGAGGCAGAAGCAAAUUGCAGAACUGCACAGGGUGGUGGGUCCUUUUGUGGCUUUCCUAGUCACUCAGACUGACGGCCCCGCCUUCACACAGGCGCUUUCAAUAGUUUUAAGAUUAUUUUUAAAUGUGUAUUUUAGCCUUUUAAUAAAAAUCAAUCAAUUACUUCUUUGCUAUUUUGGUUUUGCAAAAAGACCCACUAUCAAGGAAUGCUGCAUGUACGAUUAAACACUGUUCCGAGCGUCCGUAAACCUGAGACUUGAUGUAUCUUUGCCAUUUGUUCAGUGUUACCAACCACAUUGUGUAGUUGGGGCCUUUCCCCCGCUGUAGAGCACAGAGGAGCUGGGUGCACCUGUUUGAAGAUGUGUAGACUGAGCCUGAGUAAACAGACGGUGCUAUGCCUGUCUGUGACUGAUGUGUAACGUCUGUGCUGAGGAAGUAGCUCUCCACAUGGCAAACACCACCACCGUUACAAUGCUCUCAUCGACUGCAGUAACUUGAUUUUGCACAGUGACCUUGUAGCCACCCGAGGAAGCACCCGUGUUUCCGUUUGGUAUCAUCUGGUUGUGCUGGUAUUUGGUUUUGAGUCUUUAACGUGGCGUGUUUUCAUACCAUGAGUCAGUGAGACGCCACUGCCUGGUUACAGUCAUCGCUGUCCACUGUCUUCGUCUCUGUUACACGACGGUUUAUUCAGUUGCUUUUCAUGGAAUAUUUUGAACAAGUAAUUUUCUUGACAAGAAAGAAUGUAUAGAAGUCUCCCCACAAUUAAUUUCCAGUGUUUACAUUUUUUAACUAGACUGUGGAGUUUCUACAGAUUAAUAUGAAAUGGCGCUCCUGGUCCGUGUGUGUGUUAACUCGUGCUGUAGCUGAUGCCAUGUUUGUCUUUAGACAUUAGUUGGAAGCUCUCAAUAAAAAAAGAAAAGGUGCCCACCGCUGACAGCACAGAAAAUGGGUUGUGGAAGCCUGAAGCGCCAUUUAGCUGUCCUAGUAGUAAGUGUAACCCGGCGUCCCUCUGGGCUCCUCCCGGGGAGACGCCGUGCUGGCGGUGUUCAUGGUGCUGAGGAUGGGCUGCCCUCCUUGUCGCCCUGGGCUCAGUGUUUCCAUGCAUAUGAUUGUAAAAUAUAUAAAUACACAAACCUGCAGCUUUAACAAUUGUAAUACAACCUUUUUGGAUUAGUUAUGUGUAUAGAUAAUUAAAUUCUUC